GAUGUGGAGUAAAACUCAAAAAGCGGUCUCAGUUCGGAUUGAAGGCUGAAAUUCGCCUACAUGAAGUUGGAAUUGCUAGUAAUGGCAGGUCAGCAUACUGCCGUGAAUACGUUCCCGGGCCUUGUACACACCGCCCGUCACACCAUGAGAGUCGGGAACACCCGAAGUCCGUAGCCUAACCGCAAGGGGGGCGCGGCCGAAGGUGGGUUCGAUAAUUGGGGUGAAGUCGUAACAAGGUACC
rnacentral:rRNA from 1 species